AUGAAAGAGAAAGUAGUGGAAAAAAAUAGUAAGCAUAAAAAUUGCAAUUGCUGUCUUGCAGACGGGACCUCAUGUAAACCAGGCAGGAGAGAUAUUACCAAAAUGGAAUCAUUUUCCACUAGAACUCAUAUACUGAAACCCCAAUUAAUUUUGAAAAGUCUGUGCUCUGCCAAGUGUUCAAAUCUAUGGAAUUUGGGUAAGGAAACAGGAUCAGUCAGAAGUAUUUAUGGCACAUUUACACACAGCCAAUGCUUUCACCGCACCUAUUCUUUUGUAAAAAUACAACUGUUGCAAUAGUUCCUGUUUCUGACGCAGUGACUUAAUUAUAUAUUAUUCUUCAGUGAGAAGUUUGAUUGAUGUACAGUUACGCUGCUAUUAUGGGGAGGGAUCCUGAGGAUUGAGAAUGGUUGUUUACAGAGGGGAGGUUGUUCCAGGUGGGGUGGGUGGGCUUUGGUUUGGUUUGUAAAUCUCACUUGACAAAGUUUUGCUGCAUUUUAAAACCUGUCAGAAGAAUCCUACAUUGCUGUGUGCCACAAUGUGGUUUAUUCUGCUGUCCUUGUAGAAUCCUGUGCCGGAAGCUGCUGUAUAGGCAUUUUCUUAUUUUUUUAAAUUUCUUUUUAAUUUUUAAUCUUAAUUUUUCACAAGAUCCAUGAACUGCCACAGUUUGUACUGUUCACUGGAUGAAUACGCAAGUCACCAGAAUUAAGUGGACUUACCAGAUAUAAGUUCAUCUGUUUCUAUACACUGCAAAAAUACUGUUUGUAACUAAAAGUUUAGCUGAAAAUACCUGUGAAUACUUGAAGAUCUGGUAUAGAUAAUUAAUAAACCAAAUUUUAAUGUUAUUUUGUUAGUCCA
rnacentral:lncRNA from 1 species